rnacentral:lncRNA from 1 species
GUAGCACUAAAGUGCUUAUAGUGCAGGUAGUGUUUAGUUAUCUACUGCAUUAUGAGCACUUAAAGUACUGCGAGCUGUAGAACUCCAGCUUCGGCCUGUCGCCCAGUCAAACUGUCCUGUUACUGAACACUGUUCUAUGGUUAGUUUUGCAGGUUUGCAUCCAGCUGUGUGAUAUUCUGCUGUGCAAAUCCAUGCAAAACUGACUGUGGUAGUGAAAAGUCUGUAGAAAAGUAAGGGAAAAUCAAACCCCUUUCUACACAGGUUGGGAUCGGUUGCAAUGCUGUGUUUCUGUAUGGUAUUGCACUUGUCCCGGCCUGUUGAGUUUGGUGGGGAUUGUGACCAGAAGAUUUUGAAAAUUAAAUAUUACUGAAGAUUCCAAUUUCCAUUGUAAAAUGUUAAAAAAAGACACAAAGUAUUAAAAAAGAGACUGUAACUUCAAAUUUGUUCCUUUUUGUUAGUGUAAAAUGUUUAACUUUGUAUCUUGAAAUCAAGUGUUGCUUUGGUACUAAACAGUUCACUUUGGUCUCAUGUUCAACUUAGCAGUAUAAAUUUUGACACUUUGUGGAGUUAACACUUGGGCUAUCAAGUGGUCCAAUAUGAUUGCGAUUGUACAAAAAAUUCAUUGUAAAUGCAUGACAAAAAGUUAUUAAGUUAUAUAUUCAUGUAUCUAAAUGGAUAAAAAUGUCAAGUCUGUUUAAAUCCAUGUGUCUUAUUAAGCUUGAUACUCAGGAUUAAGGCCUCAUAAUACAUGAAUUCUUGAUGUACAGCAGUUAGCUGGUAUGCACUCAAUUCUUUGUUUAUGAUGUACGUCCUGUAAGUGACCCGGGUUGCUGUUUUUGCCAUCUAGAAACUUUAAAAAGUUGGAAUAAAAGAAAGACUGGUACUAAAAGAGUGACAAGUACCUGUUUGUGUACAUGCAUUUCUAAAGCCAAGAAUGUGGUGAGGUGAAAAUUUAAAGUUUUUUUAUCCAAGUCUAGUGAACAUAUAUGUUUGCCCCCCAUUUAAUAAGCAUGAGUUCAAAGGGGAGUUGAUUCCAGGUUGCUGUCAUUUCUGUCUCUGGUGUAGAAACUAAGAAGUGCAGUUUAACAUGACAUUUCUGCAUUUCUUUUGUUUCAUCUCUAGUCUGUUAUUUUUAUGUGUAAAAAUAUUGGAUGUGGUUGAGCACCCGUGGGUUCAACCCUGGUGCUAAACACAAAACAUGGGUAUCUUGACCUGUUACAUUGGAAAGGACCACACUGAACUCAAGCAGGGAUCCAGGGAAACUUUGAUGCUUUCAUUUUGCAAAAUAUCAGUGUAUUUUGAAUGAAAGUUGCUUAGUAAUAUGAAGUAAAUUUCCAUAACCUUAGCACUUAACUCACCUGAUAAAUUUUAGAGAAUGUCUUUUAAAAUACAUUGGGUGAAAUCUUAAUGGACGUUUUCACCUCUAAUAUAUCUCUUUAGAAAUUUUAAGAAGCUUAGUCUUCGACACCUGAGUAGAAAGGUAAGAGUUACACAGUUCUGGAAUUACGUGGUAAACUUUCAAGAAAAGAAAAUAAUCAGAAUUGUACAGUGAUAGAAUGAAGUAGAAAUCUAAUUAUUCUUUACCCGAAUCUUUUGAAUUGAAGGAAACCUAAAAAUUGUUUUGUUUUGGUUAUUUAAUGAAAAGCAUUGGCUUUAAACUGUUUUAAAAGUUCCAUAAGGUUAACCUAUCUUAAUGGUACUCUGCAAAAUGGUAUUAUCUGGUUAUAAGUGAAAAAAAGUGUAUACGUGUAUCAAAAUGUCUUGUUCAAAGCUUUUAAAUAUCCUAGCAGUGAUAUUAAGCCUGCAUGGUGGUUUCUUAAAUGUGCUUUAAAUAUGUCAAAAUUUGUAACAGUCAUUAAAUGGUUACCUCUAUCCCUGGGUUUUAAACCUAUGUUACAGAACUUAUUUGGACUUGAACUGACAUUUUAAUUCCAGUAAAAAAGUUAAUAAGUGUGUUUAUUGUGGGGUUGGCAGUAAGCUGAAGUUAAUGUUGGUUUUAGUGGGAAUUGUUUUGAUUUGUUUCUGGUUUUAGAAUGGCAAGUUUUGUUUUUGAUUCUCUUUGAUUUUUUUCCUUAGGGAUGAUGACAUACAUACCAACAAAUGUAAAUAUAUAAACAUUGACAUUAAUUUCACAUUAACCAUCUUGAGGUACAGAUGAGUCAAUAAUUGAUCUGGGUGAAACUGUUUUGACAUUCCUCCCACAGUGCUUUAAUCAAGUUGUAAUUUGGAGUUGGUGUUGCUUCAAGCCUUAAAACUUUAGGAAAAGAGGACUUUCUGCAUGUUAUGCUUAACACUGCUUGCAAAAGUAUUGGUGAUUUUACUGAAAACUUUUUUGAGAUCUUCAUUUUUACAGGCAAACUUGUCUAAGCACAGCAAACCAGACUUUGGGUUUCCCUUAAUCAUAGUUUGAAGAGCCCAACAUGCUGAUUCCUGACAAUGCAACCUGCAACUGCCUGGAGAAAAAUUCACUAUCACCUUAAAAGUUUAUUCCAUGUUUAAUGAAAUACUAUUGUUAGUAAUUGAUAAUCAUGUAGAUUGUCAAACAGAAUUGAGAGCCUAUCAGCUAAGCAAUAAAGAUAAGGAGAGCUCAGCAUGCAAGUCCAGUUUGGGGUAUUUGAAAAUGAUGAGUCUCAUGCCCCAUUGAGACUUUGCAGACUAUUCUUUGGCUUAAGGAUAUUUUAGUUCACUUUCUGCUUGAAGCCUGAAUUAAUGUAAUUUUCUGUUUUGGUAAAUUAAAAUCAGUCUAUAUUUCUGAACUUUUAAAGGGUCAUUAAGAACAUGGAUGUAUCCCUGUGAAUUUUAAGACCAUUAAAAAAAUUGUUGACAAAGAGUUUUCUACUUCUAAUAAGCUGAAUACAGAGGUGCAUACCUAAUUAUGUAUUUAGUUUGGUCACGAUAUUUAGGUUUUAGUGCAUUUAAUAUUAAAAAUAUUUUAAACUGCUUGUUAAGAAGUUGUUCAAAAUAAACACUGAAAUAAAAAUUAUUUAUUGUAGC